rnacentral:rRNA from 1 species
UACAGAGACUGCGAGCGUUACUCGGAUUUACUGGGCGUAAAGGGUGUGUAGGCGGGCAGGUGUGUUAGAUGUGAAAUCUCGGGGCUCAACUCCGAAACUGCAUUUAAAACUACCUGUCUAGAGGCUUGGAGGGGUAAGCGGAAUUCUAGGUGUAGCGGUGAAAUGCGUAGAUAUCUAGAGGAACACCAAUGGCGAAGGCAGCUUACUGGACAAGAUCUGACGCUGAAGCACGAAAGUGUGGGGAGCAAAAGGG